UAUUUCAGAUCUAAAAGGCAAGGAGACAGUGUUUGUCCAUUAAUUGAAAGACAUAGGGAAAAAAGCAAUGACAGAAACAGAUAUUACCAUACCGUCUUGUCUUUAAUGUUUUCAACAGCUGACAGUCCGAUGUAAGCCAGAUUCACAAGUAAGAAGUAUCUGCAGAAGGAAGAACCAAUUAUGGUAGAUCCACGACAGUCCUGGCACAAGCAAACAUGGCACCACCACAGCCUCUACACAAGCCUUGUUAAACAGAUUAGAUAUAAACUAACAUGUAUAUAAUUAUACCCUCGUGUAUAUAAUUAUACCCUCGUGUACAAAGUACAUGGGAUUAUAUUGGAGUCACACAUGUCAGCAGGUCCGUUCGUCAGUUCGCCUAUCUGUCCAUCAUGUCUGCUGGGAAGAUU
rnacentral:lncRNA from 1 species